UACAGUCUUCAGGAUAAUGAUUUAAAUAGAGAGAGUCACUUUGCAUUGUGACACAUGCUUCAGUGCUCUGAGAGUGUUUAUAGUGCUGUGAGUUUAACACUUCAUGACUGAGAGCAGAACAGAACACAAUCUUCAUCAUCACACAAGACAAAAGAACAACAAUGAACACAAUCACCUUCUUCAUCUGGACUCUGUCUGUCUGUAUUCAAGAGAGCUGGGGACAAGUGACAGUGACUCAAGAUCCUGCAAUAAAAUCCAUCAAACAAGGAGAAACUGUUACAAUCAGCUGUAAAACCAGUCAACCGAUUUCUGGCUGUAGUGACUGUGUGUCUUGGUAUCAGCAGAAACCUGGAGAAGCUCCUAAACUCCUGAUUUAUUACAUAAGAAGCCUUCAGUCAGGAACUCCAUCUAGAUUCAGUGGCAGUGGAUCUGACUAUGGCAGUGAUUUCACUCUGACCAUCAAUGGAGUCCAGACUGAAGAUACAGGAGAUUAUUACUGUCAGAGUUUACACAGCAUCAACAGUCAAUAUGUGUUCACACAGUGAUAAAGAGUAGUACAAAAACCUCGUUCAGUCAGACGUCACAGUGAUGCACUGAUACAGCUGAGAGAUACUGCAGCUGCUGAUGGAGGAUCACAAACAACACAAUGGUGUAUCAAACCUUUCAGAGACUUUAUUUAUUAUGAUGUGUUUAAUAAAUAUGUAACAUACUAUCUUACAUUGCUUACUAAACUGGACUGAAAUGUGGUGAAAA